GAGCUGGACGUGGUGGCU
rnacentral:misc_RNA from 1 species